CACGGCAAGACUCAAGAUCCUAACCUUUGCUGUGAUGUAUUUCAUCCAGGAUUGGACUUUGGGUGUGGACUCAAAGAUGGAUAAUUUCCGUCAGCCUGGUCUUGAUCCCCCCAAACCUUUAGACAUGGCCCUUAAGUGUGUUGACGACAACGGCUGCACUGAACAAAUGUACAAUAAGGUGCAGAAGGAAUAUCUGGAACAUGAAAACAGCAAGACCAUUUCCGGAGACCUUCUCUCUUACCUCACCUCGCUCAUCAACUCAUCCCUGACCGCUGGCUACGUCCCUUCCGUCUUCAAGAGAGCGAGAGUUGGACCCCUUCUGAAAAAACCUACACUCGAUCCCUCCGAUGUCAACAACUACAGACCAGUAUCCCUUCUUUCUUUUCUCUCCAAAACUCUUGAACGUGCCGUCCUUGGCCAGCUCUCCCGCUAUCU